CCUACGGGAGGCAGCAGUAAGGAAUAUUGGACAAUGGUCGCAAGACUGAUCCAGCCAUGCCGCGUGCAGGAUGACAGCCCUAUGGGUCGUAAACUGCUUUUGUGCGAGAAAAAACCACUCUACGUGUAGAGUGCUGAUUGUAUCGUAAGAAUAAGGAUCGGCUAACUCCGUGCCAGCAGCCGCGGUAAUACGGAGGAUCCAAGCGUUAUCCGGAUUCAUUGGGUUUAAAGGGUGCGUAGGCGGAACGAUAAGUCAGUGGUGAAAGCCUGUAGCUUAACUACAGAACUGCCAUUGAUACUGUCGAUCUUGAGUACAUUUGAUGUGGGCGGAAUGUGUCAUGUAGCGGUGAAAUGCUUAGAUAUGACACAGAACACCGAUUGCGAAGGCAGCUCACAAAACUGUAACUGACGCUGAGGCACGAAAGCGUGGGUAUCAAACAGGAUUAGAUACCCUGGUAGUCCACGCUGUAAACUAUGAUUACUCGAUGUUUGCGAUAUACUGUAAGCGUCCAAGCGAAAGCGAUAAGUAAUCCACCUGGGAGUACGCUCGCAAGAGUGAAACUUCAAAUUGAAUUGACGGG
rnacentral:rRNA from 1 species